rnacentral:rRNA from 1 species
AGUGGUACGCGAGCUGGGUUCAGAACGUCGUGAGACAGUUCGGUCCCUAUCCGUCGCAGGCGUAGGAAAUUUGAGAAGACCUGUCCUUAGUACGAGAGGACCGGGAUGGACGUACCUCUGGUGUACCAGGUGUCCUGCCAAGGGCAUGGCUGGGUAGCUAUGUGCGGAAUGGAUAAGCGCUGAAAGCAUCUAAGCGCGAAGCCAACUUCAAGAUAAGAUUUCCCACCGCAAGGGUAAGACCCCAGAAAGACUAUCUG